CGCCUGUUUAACAAAAACAUGUCUUUUUGAUUAUAAUUUAAAGUCUAACCUGCCCAAUGAGGAGUUAAAUGGCCGCGGUAAUCUGACCGUGCAAAGGUAGCAUAAUCAUUAGUUUUUUAAUUGAAAGCUGGUAUGAAUGGUUGGACGAGAGAGUAACUGUCUCAAUUUAAUUUUAUUAGAAUUUUAUCUUUAAGUAAAAAAGCUUAAAUGUAUUUAAAAGACGAGAAGACCCUAUAGAGUUUUAUAUUUAUUAUAAUAGAUAUAGUGUAGUAUGUAAUGAAUAGUUAUUAUAAUAUGUAUUUUGUUGGGGCGACAGAAAAAUUGAAGGAACUUUUUUUAUUUUAAAACAUUAAUUUAUGAGUCAAUGAUCCGUUGAAGAACGAUUAAAAGAUUAAAUUACCUUAGGGAUAACAGCGUAAUUUUUUUUGAGAGUUCUAAUCGAAAAAAAAGUUUGCGACCUCGAUGUUGGAUUAAAAUUUACUUUUGGUGUAGAAGCUAAGGGGUUAGGUCUGUUCGACCUUUAAAAUUUUACAUGAUCUGAGUUCAAACCGGAG
rnacentral:rRNA from 1 species